CGCGCGGAGGAACACUAGCCUUCGGAGCGCUCGCGCGCGCGCGUUGAAAGCUCAGCCAUUUGUCAGCGACUGCACAUUGUUCUACCGUGGUUGAUGUUUCACACUGCUUUGAACCCUCAAGACUCCACGAUUACUGGAUACGCCGUCACUUGAACCUCGGCGGCCGGAGCAGGACUGUGGUUGCGGCCGUUUCGUUGCCAGCUGUGAGGAUGAAGCAGCUUCAUAACCGGAGAUCAGUCGCCUCCCAUCAGUUUCCCUUUUCAGCAAUAGAGGUCUUGGGUGCCUUUCUACCCGUGUUGCAUCCUGUGACUGACCACUCCAACGAUCUCGGCAGAAUCGUUACGCAGGAAGAAGUCCGGCUGGCCCCAAGCCUGGUGUGAAAUGAAGAAAUGGCACUCCACAUCAGUUCAUGUUUACUUGUCAUCACAGCCAGUCUGCUAGCUUAAUUUUUGGUUCUUCCUAUUGAAUUCUCAAAAAAGCCCAGGCUUGUUGCAGCCCAAGUAACAGUGGAGGUUGCUCUCGCUGUCUGGCUCGGCCCGCUUGGAAUGCUCGUCAAAGGUGCUCCGGAAACAAGCGUAUCGGAUGAAAUGGCAUCGACACGCAGGCCUUCCAUCCAGCCGGGUGUUCUUCAAGCCGAAAUCGUCUCUCCGCCAAAACUGGGUCGCCUCGGAUUCCUCGUCUGGCAACCUGGAACCAUAGCAACAGUAUUUAACCGCCCACCUACGUCGCAUUCACCGGGGCGCGACACCGCCGGACGCACUAUGUGCUCACCCCUUCUUGUAACACAGGUUGGUUACAUGAGCCAUUGCGUAUGCAUGCGAACUUCAAACCCUUUUUUAUUUGAGGUGUCGUGCCCCAGUGACACCAAGGACUAGCUAUUUUGGUUUGUUAACCGUUGUAUGUCCGCGGUGUGUCAUGUUGCGUUGUCACAAUUGCUGUUAGCUUUGUCAGGCGAUGUGGAGUCGAACCCAGGCCCUGAUAGCGUUCAGGAAUCUAGUACGCAGACCGACGCAGGGGAAAUCUCUGCUGUCUUGCAGAUGCUUACCAAGCUUCAGUCGGGUCAAGAAAAAAUUUUGUCGAAUUUAGCGGACGUACGGACUAAACAAUACGCCACUGACGAAAAAGUAAACUUGACUGAACGUGUUGACCUUCUAGGGCAAGGUCGCUCACAGUCCAGUAACUCUUCGGCCGCUUCGAAAGCCCCGUCUGCAGAAAUAGCCGCUUUGAAAGCUUCCACGGAUGAUUCCAAAAAUAGGCUACGAAGGAACAACCUUCUCUUUUUUGGUUGAGGAUAACCCGUUGGAAACCUGGAAGCAAGCCGAAGAAACUGUUGCAUUCUGCUCUACUAAGCUAGGUGUAUCGCUUGACCCACUAAAUAUUGAUCGAGCGCACAGACUGGGCACUUACAGUGAAGAUGAAAACUGCCCCAUAAUUGUUCGCUUUGUUAGAUUCAAAGAUAAAGAUGCGGUAUUGGGAGCGGGUCCGAAGUUGAAGAUGAGUAAAACAUUUCCAUCAGGGAAGACUUCUCUCGUUCAGUACGCUUAGCCCGCAGGAAACUUUCCGAAUUCGCAAAGGCUCGGUCCUCCUCUUACAAACUCAGGCACGAUAAGCUUCGUAUGUGCGGAUGAAACUUCAUUUACGACGCUGAUAGUGAUAAUAUCGUGCUGCAAAAAAAGUUAACUUGAAACGGUGUCGAGCAAUCCCUGUUACUGAAGUUAACAGUUCCAUCAGCGUUCCCCGAUGCCGCCCCGUUGAGCAUGUGCCGUGCCGUCCUUCAUUGGUAAAUGUUAUGCUUAUCAAUUGCCGAAGCGUCAAGAACAAAACAGACGACUUAACAGGGCUCGUAUCAUCUUUUGGCCCUGAAAUUGUUAUUGAGUCUGAAUCUUGGUUAUACGAAUCAAUUUCCAGCUCUGAAAUAUUUCCUGCGGAAUACGUGGCCUAUCGCAAGGACUGCAAUAGCCAGGGUGGGGGCGUUUCUGUUCUGCUCAAGCACAGCUUGCCAAGUUUCGUAGUUGACUUGGAGGAUAACAGCUGUGAAUCUGUUUGGUGCAAAGUUGUUCUAGAACAUAGCAAACAGCUUACAAUUGGAGAAUUUUAUCAUCCGCCUAAUGACAACAGCAGUCAUACCUUUAAUACCCUUUCUCAUUUAUUACUUACGGUCUCAACUGAUUAUUUUCUCGUCGGUGGUGACUUUAAUAUGCCAGAUGCGCAGUGGAUUAAUAAGCUGCCAGUACUUCCUUCGUGCUCAUCCCUGUCGUCGGCUUUUUACGAUCUUUUCGCAACGCAUGGUCUUUAUCAAUUCGUGGAGGGACCAACACGGCGCCAUGGCAAUGCCGCUUCCAUCUUAGAUCUGAUUGCAAACUCUCCUUUGUUGCUGCACUCUGUUUCCAUAGUUCCCGGACUAAGCGACCAUGAUGCAGUGGUUGCCCGUCUCGUUGCUCCCAAGCCGUACAUACCGUCACCGAAACCCAGAAAAGUUUAUUUCUUUGAUAGCGGAAAUUACUCUCAUAUUUCUGAAACGCUUGAGUCAAACUUCGAUACUUUCUCAGAACAAAGCAGCACUGUAUCUGUCUCCAAGUUAUGGCUGCUGUUCAAGAAACAACUUUUACAGCUCAUUGACUUGCACAUUCCAUCUAAACUUCUUUCUGUGAAACAACGAAAAAAUAAACCUUGGUUUGAUAAACCCAUAAAGGUUCUACUUAAUAAGAGGAAUCGUACGUUCAAACGGUAUAGAGACAAGCCCGAUCUACUGCAAUUUUCUAAGCUUCUACAACUUGGUUCUGAAAUCCAGAUGAAAAUCACAGAAGGAAAAAAAGCGGUAUUUUGGCUCUCUUGGUUCUAGAAUUAAAGAAAAUCUAAAGGAACUUUGGAAACUAGUGAAAUCAAGCAGUAAAGACGAUGUUGGUAUCCCUCCGUUAAUCCACAAUAGUGCAGCUGUUACUAAUGAUAGAGAUAAAUCAUGCUGUUUUAGUGAUUACUUUGUUUCUGUGUAUUCCACGCUAGUACCUCAACAUCUUCCAGUCUUCUUGAGCAACGCGCUUGAUGAUAUGCGGAAUAUUACUGUUCAUUACUUCAGAAUAGUCGGCCUUCUCCAAAAAUUAAAACGACACUCGGCACCAGGUCCAGAUUGGAUACCCAAUUUUGUUUUGAAAUCAUGCGCACGUAUAUCAAGGUAUCUAGAAGUACUGUAUCACAAAUCUCUUGAAACCUCAGAAUAACCUGAAGGCUGGAAGAUGGGCGACAUUGUUCCGAUUCAUAAAAGCGGGCCUCGUGACAGUGUCACGAAUUAUAGACCUAUUUCUUUAACAUCUGUGUGUUGCAAAACCCUGGAGCACAUAAUUUACACUAACAUCUUUACCCACCUUCAAAACAAGUUUCUUUGUUCCUUACCAACAUGGGUUUAGAGCUGGUCACUCAUGCGUAACUCAGUUUGUGGAAUUUACCCAUGACAUAUUCACAUCAUUUGACAAAGGUUUACAAACAAACUGCAUACUAUUAGAUUUCCAGAAAGCGUUUGACGAAGUGUCCCAUGUUCUCUUACUUUAUAAGCUUUCACUUCUUGGUUUACCAGAAAAAAUCCUUUAUUGGCUGAAAAACUACUUGACAGGUCGUUUACAAAGAGUGGUAAUUAAUGGCACAGAAUCAGAAUACGCAUGUGUAUCUUCUGGCAUUCCGCAGGGUUCCGUCUUAGGUCCUCUUUUAUUUCUUAUAUAUAUGAAUGACAUUGGCACAGAAAUCACCUCGAAAAUCUGGCUGUACGCAGACGAUUGCGUCCUUUACAGAGAAAUUAAUAAUUAUUCCGACCGAGUAGUAUUAUAGACAGACCUAAAUAAGAUUUCUUCAUGGUGUGACAGGUGGCUUAUGUCCCUCAACAUCUCAAAAUGUAAGCAUAUUUGUUUCACCCGCAAGCGGCAACCAAUCCGUACACAGUAUUACUUGAAUGGCUCCCCUUUAUCAGAAACAAGUGAAGCUAAAUACUUAGUUGUCACAUUUUCCGCCAAUCUGACAUGGAAUCAUCAGAUUCAAAGCAUCACUUUAAAAGCAGGGAGAGUACUUAAUUUUAUUAAACGGAACUUUAGUCACGCGCCACUACAUGUCGAGAGAACACUUUACCUAAGCAACGUUCGCCCGAUUCUCGGAUACGCGUCUGUUGUGUGGGACCCUCGUACACAAAUUCUUGUCAAUAGCUUAGAAGCGAUACAGAAACGUGCGGCCCGUUUCAUAACCGGCAUUUACUCAUUUCCAAGCAGCAUCAUAGAAGUAAAACGGCACAUAUGUUUGGAAGAUCUUUCACUACGCCGUGUUGUUUCCCGCCUCUCUUUCCUUCGAGAUACCGUCUUCAUUCGCACACCAGUAAACAGAGUCUUAUCUACAACCACCAACAUACAUAUCCGGGCGCCGCGACCACUUACUUGAGAUAAAAGAAAUAUGCGCGCGCACAACAACAUACCAAAACUCCUUUUUUCCCCAUACAAUACACGAAUGGAACCUGCUGCCUCCUGAACUAAUUGAAGUUGCUUUUGAUGCCACAUUCCCCACUGCUCUCCAAGCAUGUUUGUAGAUGAAAAUGCACUCGCCAUUUGAAACUUUCUUUGAUGUUUGUUUUGCAAUGUUAGCCAGCGUGCUGUGUUAAUAAUUGUAUCUUGUUACCUGGGUGAAACUUGUUCUUAGUGCUGUCUCAUGCGCUCCCUCGGAAUGUAACAAAUGUAUGAUUAGUAUUGUGCCCAUGGUCUGAAGUGUUUAACGUUUUCAAGAGUGUGCUAUCUUGUAUUAUAUAUUGAUUGUCUGUCCUCCCUACUGUAAUGCCCAAUGGGCGAAGCAGGUAUGUAAAUAAAUAAAUGAAUGAAUAAAUAAAUAAAUAAAUAAAAAUGUAGAAUACUAGUAACUGCCAUUCUUACACAAUGUAUAGCGUUCUUUUUUAAAAUCCAGACAAUUGUUUUACUGGGGCAGAAAUGUGCUUUCUUUUGGGCCCGAAAGUGAACAUAUUAUAUUUCUUACAUUUCGUGUCUAAUAAAUUCUCCUCUCUGUCAGUCUGUA